rnacentral:misc_RNA from 1 species
CACGUCAUCCCCACCUUCCUCCGGUUUGUCACCGGCAGUCUCAUUAGAGUGCCCUUUCGUAGCAACUAAUGACAAGGGUUGCGCUCGUUGCGGGACUUAACCCAACAUCUCACGACACGAGCUGACGACAGCCAUGCAGCACCUGUGUUCCAGUUCUCUUGCGAGCACAGCCCAAUCUCUCGGGCCUUCCAGACAUGUCAAGGGUAGGUAAGGUUUUUCGCGUUGCAUCGAAUUAAUCCACAUCAUCCACCGCUUGUGCGGGUCCCCGUCAAUUCCUUUGAGUUUUAAUCUUGCGACCGUACUCCCCAGGCGGUCAACUUCACGCGUUAGCUGCGCUACUAAGAGCCGAAGCCCCCAACAGCUAGUUGACAUCGUUUAGGGCGUGGACUACCAGGGUAUC